rnacentral:lncRNA from 1 species
AGACCCCCAAACCAAGCGGUGCCAUCUUUGUGUGCUGCAUAAAUGAAACAAAACUGAAAAAAAAAAAAACAACAAAAUCAUUUGGUUCCUUUUUAAAAAACAAAAUGUGGCUCUGCUAGGGUUCUUUUAACCCAUCCUUGCGCCGCCGUUUGAAGCGAUUCGGUCGGUCCAAAUUCCGGCACCGAUUCCGACCCCGACUCAGGCGUGGCAGACUUGGAUCCCCACGGCGUAACCACGAAGGUAGUAAUUUUCCCCUUGGUUCAAUAUAAAAGCAGUAAAAAAACAACAAAAAUAAAUAAUGAAUAAUCAAAGAUGCGAUUCACCUCUUUCGAUUUUAUUUCACUGUUUUUCUUUCAAUUUUCAGUAUUCUCCUCCCUUAUAUCUUUUUUUACAAUCGGUUUAUAUAACCGAAAUAAAACAUCAAAAUAUCAAAAAAAAUCAAAAGAAUCCUUAUUUUCUCGUUAUUGUUGCAAUGAAUACUGAUGUUGGAUCCGCUUUUCUCGCAGGUACGACGAUCGUGGAGGCGCGAUUUGUGCGGAGUGGGUGAGCUGCGGCGGCUGGAGAGGGGAGGCUGCUAGGGUUUCUGUUUUUUUGUGUUUUGGGCUAGGUUUAGUUUGGGUCAAGUGUUGGGCCAUUCUAGGUUUAGUUGGGCCCGGGCAUUAUUGGGUUUGUACAGUAGCUUUUUUGAAGAUGUCAAAGUAAGAUCUUGAUAUUUAUAAAUUAUAUAAAUAAGGAACUCCCUAAGGCCUUCUUACACUAUACGUAUCCAUUUUUUACGGUUCAAUUGUAAUUUUGAUCCCUUCAAAAUUUGUUCUGCUUUCUUACAUUAUAAAAUAAAGGUUUAAUUGCAAUUAUGAUCCCCCUCCUUUCUUAGUUUAUAUAAUAAGGAUCAAAUUUUAAUUUCAAUAUACUACGUUCAAA